rnacentral:misc_RNA from 1 species
GUAUUUAUUUCUGGAUUUCUUUUCAAGUUUUCCGGAAGAUUUGAGAUGUCUUCUCCUCGUUUGAGCGAGUAUCUUUAAAGCUAUAGCCUCUUUUGUGGUAAAACAACUCUGCAGAACAGUAUUUGAAUGGAACCUUGGUUUCUCAUAAUGCCUAAUAUGCAGACUUACCAAUUGAAAGGGAGGUCCAUAACUCUAAAGUCAUCUUUCAGAUGACUUGAACC